rnacentral:lncRNA from 1 species
AGAAGCAAGCCUCGGGUUAGGAGACUUGAUCCCGUAGGUACAACUUGGAGUAGACACCGACAGGCCGGCCUUCCUCCGAUCCACACCUCCACUCUAUCUCUCUCAAUCUAGUAGAAACUAGAAGAUCUAUUUCUACCUUACAUUGGUUGCUAAGCCUAAAAAGAAAUAUUAUUUAGAGAAGAGGUUUUCCUUCGAGGGCACCCCUCAAUCUCUAUGAUAAUUUCUUGUCUCCUCCAGGGGCCAGAGGGGGUCUCCUUAUAUAGUCCUCCCCUUCUAUGCGUUUUUGGGUCGAUAGGCGAGGUGGUACUAUGUUAUUCUGGAUCCAAUAGGUCGGUGGAACGUCGUGUGCGAAGAGAGUCCGGAACGGAGUCCAGAGGGGGGCGGGCGCCUAGGUCCUCAGGGCGGGCGCCCUGGGCCUGGCCCCUUUCGGGCUCCGCUUCCUUCCCGUGGCUUCUGGAGUCUUCUAGAUGGUAGAAAAUUGCGCGGUGGGUUGAUAUCUCUAUGUAAUCUCGACAUGUGGGCCUUUCUUCCUUAUUUCCUGAUAACCCCCUGCAGAAAUAGACAAACACCAAAACUCGUGGAAUUCUGUCAGAUAAAACCCUAAGUCUAGAUGUUGAUUUCAUUUGGAUCCUUUUCUUUGUUUAUUUGAUAAUUAAAUUUGAUACUUAAGGACCGUCAACAAACUCCCCCAAGCUUACCUCUUGCUCGUCCCUGAGCAAGGAUGAACUCAAGAGUUUCUACAGUGGUUUCAUUUCUUAGAAGUACACACGCAUUUAAGCAAGAUCUCAUCUCUGAGUUAGAAUAAACUGUUAAGACUUAAAACUUACUUACUUUACCUACACCAUAGGACUUGUAACCGUCACUUCUGUCUUGAGUGGUUAAAAGAUAGAACAGUCUAGCCAAGUGUCAUGUCUCUUAUUCUUGAUCAGCUAUAGCUCUGGGUUUUUUCAGAUUUUCAAAUAAAACUCAGAAAUUCCUUGUAUGAUUCACUCAGGUCUCUCUUUUGUGGUAUUUUUGGAUCCUUACCAAGGCAGUGAUGGUAUAUGCCUUCUCUCAAGAUAUGUAGUAUUUGUGGUAUGAAGCAUAGUGACAUUAUCUUCUCUCUCACCCUACUCUAAUAAGGCUUUAAUAUCUGGAGCUCAUAGGUGGUAGAUAAAGUAUACAUACUUACAAGACAUUUAUUGCAUAGUCAAACCAUGGAUCCAAAGAAACAAAUCAAUAAGCCAAAUCAAGAUGUGCAUGUGUGGCGAAUGAAUGGUGUAUGGUGAUGAUGGUGAUAACAAUGGUGGUGGAAGUCUAAUUCUACUUUGCUCUUUGAGGGGAUACAUACCUUCCUUGCUUUUGAAACUUUAUGAGGAGAAUGAGAUGCUCUUCUUUUUCUUUUCUUUCGAGGUUCCGAGCACUUGCUCCUUUUUAUUUCCUCGUAUCUUUUAUUUUCUUUUUCUCUUUUUUUUCAGAGCAUUCAUCUCUUGAGAUAAUAUAGCAAGUGGUAGUAACAAGAUAACUUGAGCAUUUAUUUUACAAGGGGAAACAGAAAUAUUUUUGGUUAUUCUCUCCCGGAUUAGGAGUAGAAUACUUUUGGAUGAACCUGGAGAUGGAAAUGUGUGGAUGUAUGUGGAUGCGUACUUCCAGAGUAGAAGUAGCAUGUAUGAGUGAACGUGCAAGUGAAUCUUGAUUUAACCACAUGACAAGCUCCUAAGGGUCUACACAGCUUGACCAUACUCAAUGCUCAUAAGCAGUAAAAAGUAAAUGUGUGGCUCAAAGUCUAAUAAGCAUGUAUAUAUGGCUGUGGUAGGAUUUUAAACUCUCAUCAUGUGUUAUUUUAAAGAUUUUUAAAGAUAAAAUUCUCUAGAAUUCUAGCAUCUCUAGGAACAGAUAAACAGCAGCUCAACCUUCCCAUAUCGUAUCCGUUAACAACUUAGACUUCAGAUCAAGUUUUCAUCCCACAAGUUUAGGUCUAGAGCAAGCCUUAAAUUAUAACAGUUAUAUCUAAACUUGAGAGAGAACUUCAAAUUUGCAAUUUAGGCAGAGCAACUAUUCAUCAUAUCCAUGCUUAAGUUUUAUUAGAUACAGAUUAGCAUAGCCACUUUAUUUAUUUAUUAAACACACUAAGCAAAAUAUAUAUAAGCAUAAAAUCUUUAUUUGGUUUUUCAUAGUUAUGUGUAUUUAUAUUCUAAUAUAGUAUAAGUAUAAAGAUAGAUAGAAAUACUUAUUGAGAUAAAUGGGGGUGCUCUCCCCCAAGCUGAAUUUUGACGUAAUUUCUUUUGAUGUAGCUAGCAGGUGGCAGAGGUGUGUUUGAAAGUCAGCAGUAUUUUGACAGCGAUUAGAAUGUCCUCCGUCUGCUAGUCUUCUUGAUUCUUAAAUUCUGUGGAGCUCAAAUAGACAACAAAGCUUGUGGAACUGAUUAAGUGUUAGCAUAAAUAUCUAGCCUUUAUCAUAUUGAGACUCCUUAAUAAAUAUUACUCCCUGUUUUUAUAUUUUUGUUUUUAUAAAGUAGAAAAAUAUUUAUUUUAUUUUUAUGCCACCACAGUGAAUGUACUUAUGGGUUUUAUGCCACUCGUCUACUCACAUGGGGCUUACAGUUUUUUUUUCACAUUUUUAUUUUCUUUCUAGGAUAAUACGAACAUGAUUAACUAAGUAAACUAUUUGAAAUAAUUAAAAGGGAAAGGAUAACUACCAAGUUUACCUCUUGGCAAGGCGUUCGGUGUUUUUAAGUCCUCCGAGCGGGACUCUCCAAUUUCUUAAUCGUCCUGAGGUUCGUUGGGUGGCGUAGUCGGUACUUCCGGCAGCGCCUCCUCUUCAUUUAUAACUAUCUUCUCUCUCCACACCUAACUCGGUGCUACGGUCUCCUCAGGACAGUUAUGUUCAAGUGGUAUGUCUUCAGUCCUUAUCACUUCUCCUUCGUAGUCUACCCAUCCGUCCUUGAUGAUUUGCCUCCUCUGGUUGCGGUUGCGUUGUCUUCUUCUUGUCCUGACCUGCUUAGAGUCUUCAACUAUAUAGUUAGGGUCAGUAAAACAGCGGCAUACCUUCUCAGAGGAGAAGUGUAUGUGGACUUCUCCGGUUCCAAUAUAGAUGAUGGCUUUGAUAGUGCUGAGGAACUGUCUUCCAAGGAUGGUGGGUGGAUCAUACUCGUCUUCUCCCAUGUCAAUGACCUGAAAAUCAUCUAUAGCUGAAUGUAUAUUGGUUGUAGGGGCAUGGUUUCAUGCAGGAGCUGAUAAGUGACUACGACCAUUAUGUUGACGUCAGAUCCGGUGUCGUAGAGUGUCUUCUGAAAAGAGUAUCUGUUGAUUGUGCACUCAAUGCUUAGAACACCAGGGUCGUCCUUCUUGAUCAAGAAAGGUGACUUGAGUCGACGAUCUUGACCUCCUUGAACUGCAGUGACCAUCUUAGCUGACUCGGUCCACAUUUGCUUGUUCCUGUUCCUCCUGUUGGUCCUCUUCCUUGGUUCAUGUCGGGGUUGCUCUGAAGUUUGUGUAGUCUUGUUCUUGAAGGAAAGUCUCCUUCUUCCCCUUGAUGUAGAGACUGAUCUUGGCAGCAUUAGCGUAGAUGACAGCUCUAGUGUUUAGGAAUGGCCUCCCUAAGAUGAUGGGUGCCCUCUCCUCAGUACCAGUCUCUAUCACCAUGAAGUCUGCUAGAGCAUACAAGGUACCAACUCGGACGCAGAGGUUCUUCAAUAUUUCCUUUGGGAAACUGAGUGUCCGAUCUGCAACCCUGGGCAUAAUGUUGAUGCUGGAGCCAAAGUCGCAGAGUGCUUCUGUGAAGUCCACCAUGCCGAUGGAGAUCGGGAUGACGGGACGUCCUAGAUCACCUCUCUAAGUAAUUAGGCCACUGUUGAUUCCAACCUUGAUGUUGUUGAGGACGGUUGUAGUAAUAGUUGUUAUUGUUGUUGAUGUAGUUCACGUCCUCAAGCAUCUUAGGGCAGUGAUUGCCUGAGCGUCCAGUAUCUCCAGUGUGUUUAUGCUCGUAGAUCCUAGUUCUUCACUUGGUGGAAUCUGGGAGUUGUAAAACUCCUUCAUAUUAUACUCGAAGUGUUCCUGCUCAUAGAAACAAGGUAGAGAUCAAGUGCAUGGGCCCUGUUGGUGGAAAACACCAACAGAACCAAAAGUGUAUUUGUUCUUCUCUAACCUUAAGCAUAGUGAGCAAGACAAAGUUGAUGGAUCACGAGUGUAGCAUUUGUCAGAUCAGAUGGCUCAACCUAAUGGAAAGAUAAUCUAUCUAUAUUUAUGUUUUGUUUAUAUCUUCCAAAGGUUGCAUGUGCAAUACUUUAGCUUAUAUGAUUAGGAGUGUGGGGUCACGAAGGUAGUACUAAGAACAAAGAUUAAAGGACUAAACAUGUUGAAUUAAUUGAGUUGGUUAAUUUGGAGUUAUAAAUCAUACAUGUUUGUCUCUUUAUUUAUGUGAAUGCCAGAACUAAGGAGGAGCUUAUAAAAGUGUUAGUCAAGUACCUUAAGAUGUUACCUUACUUGAAGAGUGAUGGUACUGUAUCACCUUGUGGAAGCUUUCCUUUCUUAGCGGUUGUGCAUCGUGUUUGUGGCACCCUCCAUGAAUCAUCUCUUAUGAGCUACGUCUUUCUUGUGCAAAUUGUUAAACUUCAUGUGUCACUUUCUUCAUCUCUAAUGAGUUUGCAUCUCAGGACUUCCCAGGUUGUUAUUGAAAGUUUUCCUACAGGGGUUAGUCCAACAAAAUAUACCAAUAUCUACUCAAACAGUUUUUAGUUCAGUAACCAAACUAGACUCCAUGUCUAAUCAGAUUAAGGAAGGCUAUUUAACCUAAGCACCACGCUUAAUUUAAAUGCCAUUGGAAGUGUGACCAGUACUUCCAAACUAACACUUACUAGGAUAAACAAAGGUAGCAUGAUGGCUUUUAUAGAGAUCUACUCAAGUGGAGAUGAAGUAGUGUGAUUAGUAUUUAACAAAUUGAGCAUGUCUCAAAGGUAAGGUCAACCAACAUAGCAACAUGGCAAAGGAUGUUUUAUGUAAAGUACUCCCCCAAGCUUGAAUUUUGCAAAAUUCAAGAUUGGAUGAAUUUAAUUUAAUGUUGCAUGAUGAUUGGUUGGGCAUACCUUGCGCUUGUCAUUCAUCCGAUCUUCUUGCUCCAAUCCUAGAAAGGUUAGUGGCAAGAAUACCCGAAGGAAUAUUUCUACAAUUAUCUUUAUAUGCUCAAUACACAAGGCAAUGUUGCAAAUAAUUAGAAGUGCUUGUUUUAGGACACUAAGCUUGUCCUUGGGGAACCAUCAAUUAACUCAACGAGAUCUGCAAUAUUUAUUAUAGACAUACGCAUCGACAACCGCCCUUUUAAAGUUUUUAUAAAUAGAAAAGAAGAGGGGGUUGGAGAUCUCAAAUGUGGUAAGGAUGGAGAGACAAAUUGAUUGGAGAGAUGUUUUAUAUGAGCAAGGACUGGAUGAGGUAUUUAUGAAAUAACUUCUAUGCUCACUGUUGUUUCUCUCAUUCUCAAACUCCAAGGAUGAUUCUUCAUGAAUGUUUAAAAUUCCUCUAGGAUUGUCUCUCAAGUUUGUUUUAUCUAUCCAUUCAAUGGUGAUAGCACAUGGAUUUUUAAUGCCCUCUAGCCAUUGAUGUUGCUCUUCUCGAUCCUCCUUCUUAUGCAUGGGAUGUCUAGAAAGAUUCAUAGGAUUAUCGGGAGGUUCAAGAGGAAGAGCAUAGUAGAAACUAUUAAGCUCAAGGAUGGGAUGGAUAGCCGAAUCAUGGGAUUGAAAUGUUUGGAAAUCGGCUAUUGAAACUUCCUUUCCUUGUCUGGGAGAUGAUUCCUUCUCUAUCUCUAAGAUUAUUCUAUGAAGGCUAGUACAAGAAGGAUGUCCACAAAUGAAGACAUACCUUCCUUUACUAAUAGAUAAAGAAAGAAUGACUCUACCAAAGGUUAUAUGAUUAAGACCAAUGUGAAAAUAUCUAGGAAAAACAUGGUCUUGUAGGGCUAGGUCUAAACUGUAACAGAACCGACCAAAUUAUAAGAGAUUAAGCCUAAUAGUGACCACUUGCAUAGUCGAACCAUCACGCUUAAGCCCAUAUAAUCCCGGUAGUCCGUGAAAUCUCGGAGGAUUUCAAACCACACAUUGCAUAACAGCCAAGAUCGUAAUAAGUUUAGUGGCCGCCAUCCACAAGUUCAUCCAGAUUACAACAUUCAUGAAAUACAUCGGUGUUCUUAAAGUUAUUACAAACCAGGUCCUUCAAGUAGCGGAAGCUCCAUAGUUCGAAAAUACAACACACACGAUAAGUCUGAUACAGUGCCAUAGUUCGGUCAUUCCCACAAAAGCAAAAGAAGAGACGGAGUGACCAUCGCCCUUGGUCUAGUCAUCACCCAUGGCUGGGUACAGACAGAGGAUGCAAUAACCAUAGUACAUUUGACCAUCUGCAAAACAACAUGGGAGUAGAACCCUGAGUACGAGAAGGUACUCAGCUAGACUUACCCGUCAUAAACUUAAAAUAACGACUCGUCAAGGAUCAUGAAGGCUAUAUAGUGGGGUAGCUGACAACCAUUUUGCAAAACCGCAGUAUUUCACUAUCAUAACCUACAUAAGUAUUUCUUCUUUUAAUUUGCUCAAGUUGAAAGUAUCAUUACCUAUUGUUGAUGCAAAACUGAUCUGCAAACACAAAGGGCUAAUACCCGACUCAAACGUUAAGGCGUGCCAGCCGAUUUGACCUUGCUAUCGGCAAAGGUGAUAACUCGAAUACUUUAGUCCUGACAACAGCGAUGCGCCCGGAUGUCACGGCUAAGAGGUACUCAUGCGGAACUUGAGAACACGUCGAGCUUAAGUCGACGAAUUCCUAAGAACUCGUAACAAAAGGAAAAAGUAUGACGAAGUCGUCGAAAAGUAAAUGCUAGAAUAUGAGUAAAAACGUGUGUUUGAUUGAUUUCUUGAUUGAUGAUCUAUUACAAGGCCCUAGGGUCUACAUUUAUACCCUGCUCAAAGAGCUACAACCAGACACGAUUAGAAUUCGAAUUCCAAAUUACACGGAAUCCGUAUACAAAACGAUGCAAAUAAUUAAGGAAAUAACAAAACUAUCCCUCGUGACAAACCGAAACUCCUCCACAUAACGACCGGCAGCUUCCGGACUCCCUCUUUGCAUCAUCGGCAGACCUUUGCCAUAGUCAUCGGCAGACUUUCUUAUCUAGCCAUCGGCACCAUAUUACUGCCUGUGGACUUAAUCACGUUCAACCUCUCCCUCAUCGGCAACCAUCCUCAUCGGCAACCCACUUUGUAAACAUCGUACUGCCACCUUAUCCUGCCAUCCCAGACACGUGCCCAAAAACGGUGUCAACACAUGCCCCCCAGUUUCGGAGUAUAAAACUAUUAAUGCUCCGAAAUUCUCUGCAGUAAUGAUGCCUUUUCCCGCAAUUAAUGCUCCUAAUCUGGUAACCGACAACCUCAAUCUGAACAACUCUGAUCCUAUUCCUCCGCAGAUUUCUCGAAAUCCCCAACUUUCUAAACGGGCAUUUUUCUCAGCCGUACAUCGGCAACAAUACCGUUACAAAGAUCUGCCGAUGUUCUGACCAGGAUAUUCGCACAAACGGUUAUUUCCCCUCUAUCCGCCCAUCGGCAAUAUGACCGUUGUAGAAUAUUGCCGAUGGACCGACCAGGAGAUCUCGCACAGUAAAAUAUCUUCAGAUAAUGACCGCUUCCUGUCAAAUCACCUGCACAAUCCCUGGAUUACCGUGCGAAUAGUUACCAUAUCCACCUGAGUACCCUCGGAUUUCUCGGAUGCGGCAAAGAGAUAAGUCGGAUUUGCCCUUGCCCAUUUUGUCCUAUAAAUAGUUCCUUCUCGGGUACUCCUUCCCCAUCACACCAUUCUACUACCCAACUUUACUUUUCCAGCGGCGGCGCCACCAAAAACUCCCAAGGUCUCUGACAAGUACCCCUCUUCACCAACUCUGGCGCCUUCAAACGCUUCCUUCGCAGCAAGAUGGCCGUCGGGUUCGUCGUCCCUGAGGUCAAAUCUCCACCCCGUCUUCUGUAUUUUUCUUCAUAUCCCUGUUCACUCGCAAUCCAUUUUACUGAACAUCUUCCUUUUCUUUCCUCUUUGUAUUUCUUUUUACGCCCAAAAUCACUAGGAAUUGUCCAACAAAAUUGUCAUCCCCACCGAUCAACCACACCUUCAAUGCCUCGGCCCUCUAGGGGUCCCAGAUCCAACUGACCUUAUCAACGCAGAAACCAACAGGAUCCCCUUCAGAGCCGAAAAUUUUUCCUUAGAUCUGUGGAAGGACACCUUCCGCUCUUGGCCCAGCCCAACUGUAGGGUGGAAAGACUGGUUCUUGAGGGUCAGCAACUCUAAUGAAGUUCAGUGGGGUGAAAGGAAUCUAGCCCAAUGCAUCAGAUUGUCCAUUGCCGAUAUGCAUAGGAACGAGUCACUGCUGAUAGCUGCAUCCUACUUUUGGUCAGACACCCUCAAUGCUUUUGCCUUUGGCCACGGCCCUGCUUCUCCUACUCUUGCCGAUGUAGCCAUGCUUACUGGUCUAGAUAUAUCUUCUGCCGAUAGCACCCACUUUUUUGAUACUGCCCCUAGUGCCAAAGUGGAGACUCGCGCUAUCGGCGGUUGGUCGGGGUACAUUCAGAAGUACCGUGGGAAAGGAUCUGUCACCAUAAAGGAACAAACCACCUUUCUGAACAUGUGGCUGGACAAGUUUGUAUUCUGUGGUCGAUCGGCAGGACCGACUUCUGUCUACCUAUCGGCAGCAGAAAGACUGGCUAACGGUGGCCGAUUCCCUCUCGGCCGAUACUUGCUUGGCGCUGCUUACCAUCUUCUCCAUCAAGUAGCCCAGAAACUUCUGCUCGGCCAAUCCACUGGCAACUUGGGAGGCCCCUGGUGGUUCGUCAACAUGUGGCUCAAUCUGCAUCUGCACAAGCGUCUCAACUUCAACCUGUUCACACAGCGUUUCCCAAGAGAUAUAGCUGAAAACCAUGUGUUGGGUGAAGAGGAAUCGGCAACACGCGCCCCCUUGAACUUUGGCGAAGCUGUCAUAGUUCUGCCUGGUUCAGGGGGUAAUCCAGAUCAGAUCGGCCGAUUCUUCCAGACUCUGUAUGAGGGUUUGACCAGAGACGAACGACCAUGGUUGGCUUAUGAUGACCCAGAUAGCAUGCUCCCUCUGACCUUCAAUCCAUUUGAUGAAGCUCUCGACAGGGACAAUGAGGUGAUGAUGGCAAUCGUGACUCCCAGAAUCAUUCCAGUGAAUUUCUUUGGUAGCACAAAAACCUCCCCUCAAACUUACGAAUUUUACAAUCCAUCGGCAUUAGUUCGCCAGCUAGCUUUCGGCCAGUUGCCGAUUGCACUUCCUUAUGCCGAUGUGAUAAAACCCAGAGAAACUAUCAACAAUCUUCUUGAGUGGACUCGAGCAGCCCAACUACCACCAAACGCCGAUAUAGAUGUAGAUCUGUCAGAAUGGGUCCCGGCUGCUUUUAUCACUCAGGCAUACAAGUUAUGGUGGGCAGAAUGGAAAGAGCAUCUGUUCUGUAGAUCAGCACUUUCAUUCCGCGGCAUGAUUGACUCCGAAUACGAAGUUCCUGAUGACACUGUAAGUAAUUCAAACCAACGUUUCAUUUUCUCAAUAUUACCUCCAUCGGCAGCUUACCCUUGUAUUCCUUUUGCAGGUUGAUAAUAUUCCUCCGUUGGUUAGCAGGAGUGGUAGGCCGAUCGACUUGUUUCCAUCAGGCCCGAUUUCCUCAAUCGGCCACAAUGCUCCCACUCUAGCUUCCAUCGUGCAUCGGGGUGUACGCCUCAGGAAAGUCACCACCAGAAGAACCCAGACAUCACCAACGGUAGCUGCUCCCACUCUCGCGCGGGCUUUCAAGGCAAUUUGUCAAAUCUUUUCCUUUAUGCUGACUAUCUUUAUAUCGGCUAUAUUUAUGCUUAUAAACUCUUGUUCAUUAUUGCAGCAAACCGGCGCAUCGGCGAAAGCCAGGCGUGAGAGUACCGACGCCCUCCAGUCUAGCCAACCCAAGAGAAAGGGCACCACGGGUGCUAAGACUGGAACAAAGCGCCAGAAGGUAGCAAUCCCCCCUCCUCCUCCAGUAUCUCCAAUUCCGGUGGAAUCUUCUCCUUCUUCUCCAGAAGCCCAGCCACAGCAAGCACCAUCUCCCCCACCUAUGUAGGAAGCACCACAGAUAGAAGAACCCCAACAGGAAGGAUCUCAAACAGAAGAUACAUCAGUUGACAUGGGUGAACAAACAACUGGCCCGGUGAGUCCAGUUAUACCAUCGGCAGUUCUCCCGGUUCAGACAACCGUUGUCCCUCCUCCAGGUAACAUACUUUAACAAUAUCGCUACCGAUGAACUUAUUCUUAUUUAGUCUCAUAACUCCUUUUGUCUUCUUUCAGUUGAUAUUGUUCCAUCGGCAAUUUCAGCCGAUCAACCUGUAGCUCCAUCGGCAUCUUUGGCCGAUCAGCCUGUAGCUCCGUCAGUACUUCUCAGUCAAAGACAAGAGAUCGCCUUGAAGCAAGUAAGUCACCGUUUACCGUUAGCAUUAUUUGCCGAUUCUCUGAGUAUGAGCUAAUUUUGCUUUCCCUCCCAGGAACAAGAUUCUCCCGAUAGCCUGUUCUCCUUUGCCAUCGAUCUCUCUAAAGAAGAAGGUGAAGAAGCAAGCUCUUCUCAGACGGUCGGCAUCACAUCGGCAGAGAUCAGGGUCAGGCUGGAAGAAUUGUCAGCUCUCCUUCACCAAGACACAGCGCAAUUGGUUGAUGAUUCUGACCCUACCAAGACCCUGUUCAGAACUCUCAGAGGCCAAAUCCCAGCCGAUGUUGAAGAAAUCCUGUUCCAAGCCGCUCAUCUGGAGAGUCGCCAGCUGCAGUACCAGAGAGCUUCUCGGCGUCUUGCCGAUAGAGCCGCUCAGACUCAACUCUCCGAUGAAAUGAGGAAAGAGAAGCUUUUGACCGAUGAGAAGCACAAGGACAUCGGUAUCCUGAGAUCUUCUGGAGACGCACUGAAGCAGAAGAUAUCCGAUCUAUCGGCAAGAAAAGAAUCCCUGUUGGCGGAACUCAAGGAAGUAGAGAACGCUCUGUCCCAAGCCCAACAGGAAGAGAGCCAAUUGCCAGAGACCAUCAGGCUUUUUGAGCACGAGCGAAAUGUUCAUGGUCGCAAGGCACUUCAACUGAAGAAGAAGCUGAAGCCGAUAGAAGGUUCUGCCGAUGACGACAUCAAGGAGAUGGAAGCAGCCAACCAAAUUCGGCUACGCGCUAUAUCGGCAAUCCAGACGCUGCUUAACACAUAGAGUUUCCAUCGGCAUUAUAUCUGCGCUUUCCUUCUUCCUCAGCUUUUAGUCUAGCCGAUAGGACUGUUAUCGGCACCUAAGCUUUUGAAACACCAAGUCUUGUCCCCAAGCGUUUGGAUCCAGCCGAUAGGAGUGUUAUCGGCACCUAAACUUCUAUGCAUCGACCCAUAUACUGGGGUAGUACUUCUUUAAAUAUUUGCCGUUUAAUGCUCUGGGAAAUUCAAUUCCUUCGAGGGUUUCUAGAAUGUAGGCAUUACCAGGAGCCGAUCGACUUAUCCGAUAAGGACCCUCCCAAUUAGGAGACCACUUUCCAAACUUCGAACUUUUGGUCCCAAUUGGUAAAAAUAAUUUCCAUACCAAAUCCCCAUCGGCAAACUCUUUAGCCUUCACUUUCUUAUCAUACCAUCUAGCAACUCUCUUCUUAUUUUCUUCUAUACUCAUUAAAGCUUUUAACCGAUGCCCUGCUAGAUCGUCCAAUUCAUCGGUCAUCAAAGUGGCAUAACCAUCGGAAGUUAAUUGAUCUUGAAAAGUUAAUCGCCUAGAUCCAGUCUUAAUCUCCCAAGGCAACACUGCAUCAUGUCCAUACACCAAUUGAUAGGGUGAUACUUUGGUCGAUCCAUGACAAGCCAUCCGAUAAGACCACAAUGCUUCACUCAAUAAUGUGUGCCACCGCUUAGGAUUUUCUUCAAUCUUUCGUUUAAUAAGCUUGAUAAUUCCUUUGUUAGACGCUUCGGCCUGCCCAUUGGCUUGAGCAUAAUAAGGAGAAGAAUUCAACACUUUAAUUCCCAUACCGAUCGCGAAUUCAUCGAACUCCCCCGAUGUGAACAUGGUGCCCUGAUCGGUAGUAAUCGUUUGGGGAAUCCCGAAUCGGUAAAUAAUAUGCUCCUUCACAAAAUCAAUCAUAUUGGCCGAUGUGACUUUCUUCAAAGGAAUAGCUUCAACCUACUUAGUGAAAUAGUCAGUGGCAACUAGAAUGAACUUAUGCCCUUUGCUAGAUGGUGGAUAAAUCUGGCCGAUCAGAUCGAUGGCCCAUCCCCGGAACGGCCAAGGCUUUAUUAUAGGAUUCAUAGCCGAUGCGGGUGCUCUCUGGAUAUUACCAAACUUUUGACAACCUUGACAUCCCUUGAAAUAUUUAAAACAAUCUUCAAGCAUGGUUGGCCAAAAAUAUCCAUUCCUUCGAAUCAUCCACUUCAUCUUAAAAGCUGACUGAUGCGCUCCACACACUCCUUCAUGGAUUUCCCCCAUCAAACUUCUAGCCUCAUCAUCGCCCAAGCAUCGGAGAAGAAUUCCGUCGAUAGUUCGAUAAUACAAUUCAUUUUCAAGGAACACAUACUUGGUUGCUUGAAAUCGAACCCGUCUUUCAACUUUUUUGGAUGGAUCUUUUAGAUAAUCAAUAAUUUCUUUCCUCCAAUCACCGGCACCGACUGCCGAUGUCGCAUUAAUCAUUGGCUGAUAUCCCGAGGCAUGCUGAGCUAACCGAUUAGCGUCUUCAUUAUGCAAUCGGGGAACAUGCUCCAAUCGGAAAUCCUUGAAUUCCUUUAACAGUUGCAUACUUCUCUCGAAAUAAGUUAUGAGAACUUCACUUCGGCAUUCAUAGCUUCCGGCCAAUUGAUUUAUAACCAACAUAGAAUCCCCGAAUAUUUCAACAGCAUCAGCACGAACUUCUCUUAACAACUCCAAUCCCUUGAUCAGAGCCUGAUACUCAGCCUGAUUAUUUGUUGAUGUGGCAACAAUCGGCAAGGAAAACUCAUACUUCCUCCCCUUAGGGGAAACUAAUACAAUGCCGAUUCCUGCCCCCCGGUCACAGGUAGAUCCAUCAAAGAAGAGCGUCCAGGGUACAAUCUCCAAGGUUUCCACUAGACCGCAAUGCUGAGUCACAAAAUCGGCCAUAAUCUGCCCUUUGACUGCCUUAGCCGAUUCGUAACGCAAAUCGAACUCCGACAGCGCUAAAAUCCAUUUACCGAUCCUACCACUCAUAAUCGGCAUAGAUAGCAUGUAUCGCACCAUGUCAUCUUUGCAAACAACAGUGCAUUCGGCCGAUAACAGGUAAUGUCUCAGCUUGAUACAUGAAAAAUAUAAGCAUAAGCAUAGUUUCUCAAUGGCCGAAUACCUGGUUUCAGCAUCAAUCAACCUCCUACUCAAAUAAUAAAUUACCCUUUCUUUCCCUUCAAAUUCUUGAACUAAAGCUGAACCGAUAACCGAUCCAUCGGUAGAUAAAUACAAUCUGAAGGGCUUCCCUUGUUGAGGUGGAACUAGAACUGGAGGAUUUACUAGAUAC